rnacentral:tRNA from 1 species
GGAUGAAUAGCUCAAUGGCAGAGCAAUGCCUUGUUAAGGCAAAUGUUGAAAGUUCGAAUCUUUCUUCAUCCGCAA